rnacentral:rRNA from 1 species
AUGUCACGGGGAUCAGCUUGGGCUGGCCGCCCUGAUCGAGUGUUCACGUCGGUGGAGGACCCGCAGCAGCGACGCCUCGCUGAGUGGAUGGACCAAGACAAGCAGGCGCGGCGUCGCGCCGAGUUUGGCAUCCGUAUUGCAGCCAUCGCGGCGCAGGUGGCUUCCGAGGUGUCGGCGGCGGUAGCAUCGGAGGUGUCGGCUGCCGUUGCCGCGGCGCUACAGUCUGCGCGGGCGGGGCACCACGAGUACCUCGACCUUGAGUCGACGACCACAUCGACCCCAACUGCUCCAGUGGCAGACGACCUCGCCUCUCCCACCGCAGCAUCAAAUUUGUCUGAGGUCAUCGUCGGUGUCGUCACCGAGUGUGGCUGCACCGACCUCGAGCCCACGGCCGCGACCUUAACUCUGACCUCCGCACUGGACAUCUCGGGCGCCUGUUCAGCGGUGAACUCGCUCGCGCUCCCUACAACCAGUGGCUGCUCCGCCGUGGUGCACACCACGUGUUCGACGCAAUGCGCAAGCCGCACCGUCACCAUGUCGGUGUCAGCGACAGCUCCAGCCACAAUGUCAGCUUCGUCCAAGGUCACCGGCGAUGUCGUUCCCGAGCUCUGCUGCCUUGACCUUGAACCAUCAGAUGUCCUCGAGCUUAUCAGAACGCCGCCCAAGUGUUCGACAGAAGGUCUGAAUGACGACCCCGUGGUCAUGCAUGAACAGCAGGAGCGCUCCAAGGAAUAUGAACAUUCAGUACAAGAUGCCAACAUGCCCUGUGUGCUUCAUGUCAUCAACAGUUGUGAGUUCCCUGGAACUACCAACCAGGUCAAAACUGCAGCCCUUCGCCCAACUAAAUCAAUCACCGAGCACAAGCUAAUUGGUGUGGAUUCACUGCACACACCGUGGACUCCAGCGAGGAGCACAACUUGUAGAAUGUUCAACGUGCAAGGUACACUGUAUGUUAUGCAGUUAUCAGGGGAAUUGCAAGACUUGGAAAUAGUGGAACCUACAGGGAGUGCACCUCUCACUGUGAUUUAUAGUGUUCCUGGAGUUCAAACAGCACGGCUGAAUCCAACUGUAUUCAAGUGGUCAGAUCUUUUUUGUUUUGCCACACAAUUUCUUAGUGCAAGCACUCUUGAUUUAUUACUAGCGAAGCGAGAUGCACCUACUGUGAUUGGGAAUUUGUGCUGUGAGAUUCAGAGCAAGGGAAUAAUAAUAGAGAGACCAUAUUGGCAAUUGAUUGCGGAAGUAAGUUUGGAAGCACUCAAGCUUUCAUGGCUGCCACCUCAAGGUAUUAUUUGUGUACCACUCAGAAUUUCUCUGCUGAAGAAAUCAAUUGGCAUAUAUCGACAAUUCUAUUGGGAGGGUAGAAAUUCUUUUGCAGUAGUGUGGGCACUGACUUUGCAAGUGCACGAGCAUAAGAACAGAUGCAGUUUACUAGAACAUGAUACAUCAGUGGUGCUCCUUAUUGCUCAUGGUACUACUAUCGUUCAGUGCAUCCUUGUGCAUCAGGAGAGGUCCAUUGGAAGUUUGAAGAUUGAUAUGUCAACUAGAGAUAUAAUUGCAGCAUUACAUAGGAAGAAGCCAAGGCCUUGUUGGACGACAUUUUUCUAUGGCCACCAGUUACACUAUUCUGACCAGUCAGAUUCAGUUACAAAUGUUUUUCAGAACCAGCACAGAACUGAAUAUUCUAUUGGAAGAGUCAUUCUUGAGGAUUUCCAGUGGGCACCUGCUUGGUCCUUUUCCAUGGAGUUUUUGCUAUUUGGAGAUGAAUGUUCGUUUGAAGCUCUGUUGGGCUGCCACAUCUAUAGUGCGUGUUUGUUGGAUAAAAGCAUGGGGAUCACUCUAGGAAGCGAUGCAAGCUACGGUGAAUGCAUAAUAAUCAGUCCUUGCCGUCCCCAAUUUCAACCCGAACCAUGUGAAGGUACUUGUUUCUAUAGCUUUCGUGUUGUAGUUUUUUCACGAGUUGUUCCUACGAUAAGGCUUGCAUACUUUGAGAGGCCUGGAAUGGGGCUAUAUCAGGAAUAUAUGCAGCUGAUUGGUAUGAUUGGGAGGCAGGUUCCUGCUCUUGAUUUAUGGGCUACCAGAAUUGUGUUCCAGCCAAGGGAAACAGAGGGCGUGCAGCCUAGCGCAUAUUCCUUCUGUUUGGAAAUUUCCUUUCAACACCGCCCAUGUUUCCAACGAACAAGUUUCCAGUUCAGGAGGUGUGCUACUUUGAACCUCUCAACCACAAGCUUGGUAAUGGUAGUGGCCUUUCCACCGGUAUUUGAAGAGGGACAGACAAGUGCCAUGCUCUGUAUGGACCAGAUGAUGAUGAAAACUGGGCAUGUUAUUCAAUGUGGUCUGGAGUAUGUCCAAUGGGAGAUUGCACGGUCACUUAACUUGAAGUACAUGGAUAUCAUCAAACAGUCCAAGCAACAAAUUCUUGCCGCAACAUACCCUGAGUUGUAUUUUCCAUGGGAUCCAGGCGAUGUCGUAGCACAACAUAUCCUGCUUCCAACCAGACCAUGGGCUCUGGCAUCAGCCAAUCGACAUGUUGCUAGGAUCUCCUCUUAUGUGCCUGUUCUUGGGGGAGAAUUCUUUGCUCCAUGGAAUAAUGGUAGCUGCAACAGGGGGAGUUGUCAUUGCAGAGUGCUAGUCUAUCUUCACAUGGACGAGUUCAGUUGCCUAAGAAUACAGUAUCCUAACGGCAAAAGGCUCAUCGGGGAAGAGUGUUCCUAUGGAAGAUUUCCUGGCCAAUGGUUCUGGAGCACUCUACUAUUGACAAGACACCUAAUUCCUGUAGAAACACUGAGGUCCUUCGCACAAGUUAAAGCUACAGCAGGGAUGAAGGUUGAAGCUCCAACCUUCUAUUGCGUCUGCUACCUUGGCCAAGACCCCGACGGCCACAACUACUACAUCGUCCUCAUUCAAGUGCAUCCCGUCAUUCGACUACGGCUACCACGACGAGCCCAUUACCACCAGCAAAAUUCAAGUGCCAUGGGAUCCUGGUGGUUCAACAUGGCGUCGGCUUGA